UAUGGAGUCUAAAAGGAGGAGGCGAAUCGAACGCAAAAAUUAUGGGCCCAGUUUUUGAGAUCUAAAUGAAGUUCGAAAAUCGCCGUUAGGGGCGCUUGUGAUGAUUGGGAUACUAGAAAUACACAGCUUCUUAUGGCAAGAAUAACUAUUUUGUUAUAAAUUAUAGAGCCAAGUUAAUAUUUUGGCAUAUUUUUACCAGAGUUAGCUUUUAGAAACGUGGUUUUUCUAAUUGAGCAAUGUGCGUGGCUAAAAUUGUGAAUACAAAACCCUAAAUUUGAGUUUGAAAAUGCAUACACGACCGAAGAAAAACAUAAGCUGCUAAAAUAAAUCUUCCCUAGAACUGUUGUACAAAAA